UAGGGAAUCUUCCGCAAUGGGCGAAAGCCUGACGGAGCAACGCCGCGUGAGUGAUGAAGGUCUUCGGAUCGUAAAACUCUGUUAUUAGGUAAGAACAAAUGUGUAAGUAACUAUGCACGUCUUGACGGUACCUAAUCAGAAAGUCACGGCUAACUACGUGCCAGCAGCCGCGGUAAUACGUAGGUGGCAAGCGUUAUCCGGAAUUAUUGGGCGUAAAGCGCGCGUAGGCGGUUUUUUAAGUCUGAUGUGAAAGCCCACGGCUCAACCGUGGAGGGUCAUUGGAAACUGGAAAACUUGAGUGCAGAAGAGGAAAGUGGAAUUCCAUGUGUAGCGGUGAAAUGCGCAGAGAUAUGGAGGAACACCAGUGGCGAAGGCGACUUUCUGGUCUGUAACUGACGCUGUUGUGCGAAAGCGUGGGGAUCAAACAGG
rnacentral:rRNA from 1 species